rnacentral:lncRNA from 1 species
CUUUUACCAAAUUAAGAUCAUUCAAUCAUUUUAGGAGAUGAAAUGUACAUUCCAUAAAUUCCCUGAAUCCAAUGAUCUUAACCUAGCAAAGUCAAAUCAACCUUGACCAAGGUCCAACAAAACAAGUCAAACUUACAAAUAUCAAUCAAAAUGGCUCAACACAAUUAUUUGGCAUUUAUUCAAAUUAAAAAAAUACUAAAAAUAAUGCAUUAAUUUAAAUAUGGUUGGUCAAAUUCCUAAAACCUCAUAAAAACACUAAAGAAAUGGCCAUGAGAUUUAU